AACGAACGCUGGCGGCAUGCCUAACACAUGCAAGUCGAACGAGACAUUCGGGUCUGGUGGCGCACGGGUGCGUAACGCGUGGGAUUAUACCCUCAGGUUCGGCAUCUCUCAGAGAAAUUUGAGCUAAUACCGGAUGAUGACGUAAGUCAAAAGAUUUAUCGCCUGAGGAUGAGCCCGCGUAGGAUUAGGUAGUUGGUGAGGUAAAGGCUCACCAAGCCGACGUUCCUUAGCUGGUCUGAGAGGAUGAUCAGCCACACUGGGACUGAGACACGGCCCAGACUCCUACGGGAGGCAGCAGUGGGGAAUAUAGGACAAUGGGCGAAGGCCUGAUCCAGCAAGGCCGCGUGAGUGAUGAAGGCCGUAGGGUAGUAAUGCUCGUUUACCCGGGAUGAUAAUGACGGUACCGGGAGAAUAAGCUCCGGCUAACUCCGUG
rnacentral:rRNA from 1 species